rnacentral:rRNA from 1 species
GUGUUUUGUUAACCUUUUUUUUGACGCCAAGGCCAUUAAAGGGUACGUUAAGCCCGAUGAGAAUAUUUGGGAUAAGCAUCGGCUAUCCCGGUGCAGCAGGCGGGGUAAUCGGAGGAUUCGGAGCGUUUUCCGGAUUUAUUGGGUUUAAAGGGUGGUAGGCUGUUUUUGUAAGUCAGCGGGAAAGACCGGGCCCAACUCCCGGAAGUGCCGUUGAUACUGCAUUCUAGAGUUCCCCUGCCGUGGGGAAUGAGUGGUGUAGCGGUGAAAUGCAUAGAUAUCACUCAGAACACCGAUUGCGAAGGCAUCUCACGAAGAGGCAACUGACGCUGAGGCACGAAAGCGUGGGGAUCAAACAGGAUUAGAUACCCUGGUAGUCCACGCUGUAAACGAUGAUGACUAGCUGCCGGCGAUACACUGUCGGUGGCCCAGCGAAAGCGAUAAGUCAUCCACCUGGGGAGUACGACCGCAAGGUUGAAACUCAAAGGAAUUGACGGGGGCCCGCACAAGCGGAGGAACAUGUGGUUUAAUUCGAUGAUACGCGAGGAACCUUACCCGGGCUCGAACGGCAGACGACAUAUACAGAGACGUAUAUUCCCUUCGGGGCGUCUGUCGAGGUGCUGCAUGGUUGUCGUCAGCUCGUGUCGUGAGAUGUUGGCUUAAGUGCCAUAACGAGCGCAACCCUUGUCGUUAGUUGCCAUCAAGUUAAGUUGGGGACUCUAGCGAGACUGCCACCGCAAGGUGUGAGGAGGGAGGGGAUGACGUCAAAUCAGCACGGCCCUUACGUCCGGGGCGACACACGUGUUACAAUGGCGGUUACAAAGGGCAGCCACCCGGCGACGGGGCGCCAAUCUCUAAAAGCCGCCUCAGUUCGGACUGGAGUCUGCAACUCGACUCCACGAAGCUGGAUUCGCUAGUAAUCGCGCAUCAGCCACGGCGCGGUGAAUACGUUCCCGGGCCUUGUACACACCGCCCGUCAAGCCAUGAAAGCCGGGGGUGCCUGAAGUUCGUGACCGCGAGGAGCGACCUAGGGCAAACCUGUAAUGGCUAAGUCGUAACAAGGUAACC